AGACUAUCUUCGUGGUAAAGCAAGUACUCCAACAGAGAUGCCUAAUGUGGUGGAAUAAACUGUCUAAACAGAUCUGGACGUGCGAAGGGUUCCAUCAUUAGAGGGAGGUAACCCAGAGCAUCCGUAAUCCAGUUCUUUCUGGUCAAGAUGAUUAAACCUCUGGCUUUUGUGGAGACCUAACAUUCCAAGCUUCCUAAAACAGAAAAAUUAAUCCAGUCAGAUGCUGGUCAGAACCUAUAGAUACAUUUUCUGGUACUCUGGAUUUCCUUACAUCCUCUCCAAAGCCCAC